UCGUCAAUUAUGUUACGCCGCAUACAUUCUAUUAUGUUUUUAAAAACAUAAAUAUCUUCUUAUUGCUUUGUUCUGGUAUCAUGUGGCGAGCGAUCGAGGACUAUAAGUAAUAACCAGGCGGGUUUAAACGUUAUUAUGCUAGAAACAUUGAUGCACCACACAGCGUAAGGCUACACCCAUUUCAUUAGACUCUUAUUUUGUUCUCUACAGGUCACUUCUUUUUAAUGCUCUCAAAAGUUGGCUUUCUUAUUCAACGCACAAAGUUUGAUGAGCAUUCUUUUUGUCAUAUGCUUAGUGCAUGAACCUCUCGCCGAGUUAUAUGUAAUGAGAUAAUACAAACAAUUUCGAGGCUCGAUAGAAGGUGGAUUGUACUGCGGAAACCUCCAGAGUCUGGGAUGUCGCAACCCUCACAACGCCACCUGUUGCCGAGCCAUCCGACGACAGCAUGAAUUUAAUUCCAGACCUUUCAUGUUCGUUCAAUAAAUAAAUAUAAGGAGUACACUACCCGACGCCUAUCGUUCCGCAUGUCAUACAACGAUAUUCGAGCUGAGGUCGCAUACCUUUUUUCUCCGCAGAUAUGCGCUCGCUUUUCAGCUCUCAUUC